AACCGGAUUAGAUACCCUGGUAGUCCACGCUGUAAACGAUGUCGAUUUGGAGGUUGUGCCCUUGAGGCGUGGCUUCCGGAGCUAACGCGUUAAAUCGACCGCCUGGGGAGUACGGCCGCAAGGUUAAAACUCAAAUGAAUUGACGGGGGCCCGCACAAGCGGUGGAGCAUGUGGUUUAAUUCGAUGCAACGCGAAGAACCUUACCUACUCUUGACAUCCAGAGAACUUUCCAGAGAUGGAUUGGUGCCUUCGGGAACUCUGAGACAGGUGCUGCAUGGCUGUCGUCAGCUCGUGUUGUGAAAUGUUGGGUUAAGUCCCGCAACGAGCGCAACCCUUAUCCUUUGUUGCCAGCGGUUCGGCCGGGAACUCAAAGGAGACUGCCAGUGAUAAACUGGAGGAAGGUGGGGAUGACGUCAAGUCAUCAUGGCCCUUACGAGUAGGGCUACACACGUGCUACAAUGGCGUAUACAAAGAGAAGCGACCUCGCGAGAGCAAGCGGACCUCAUAAAGUACGUCGUAGUCCGGAUUGGAGUCUGCAACUCGACUCCAUGAAGUCGGAAUCGCUAGUAAUCGUAGAUCAGAAUGCUACGGUGAAUACGUUCCCGGGCCUUGUACACACCGCCCGUCACACCAUGGGAGUGGGUUGCAAAAGAAGUAGGUAGCUUAACCUUCGGGAGGGCGCUUACCACUUUGUGAUUCAUGACUGGGGUGAAGUCGUAACAAGGUAGCC
rnacentral:rRNA from 1 species